rnacentral:rRNA from 1 species
CCCUAUCAACUUUUGAUGGUAAGGUAUUGGCUUACCAUGGUUUCAACGGGUAACGGGGAAUUAGGGUUUGAUUCCGGAGAGGGAGCCUGAGAAACGGCUACCACAUCCAAGGAAGGCAGCAGGCGCGCAAAUUACCCAAUCCCGACCCGGGGAGGUAGUGACAAUAAAUACUGAUACAGGGCUUUUUUGGGUCUUGUAAUUGGAAUGAGUACAAUUUAAAUCCCUUAACGAGGAACAAUUGGAGGGCAA